rnacentral:rRNA from 1 species
GAUGAACGCUGGCGGCGUGCCUAAUACAUGCAAGUCGUUCGCACGGCCGAGCUUCUUGCUCCUCUGCUAUUAGCGGCGGACGGUUGAGUAACACGUAGAUACCCUACAUUUAAGACUAGGAUACCUUCGGGAAACCUGAGCUAAUACCGGAUAAUAUUUUGAACUGCAUGGUUCAAUAGUGAAAGACGGUCUUGCUGUCACUUAUAGCUGGAUCCGCUCUGCAUUAGCUAGUUGGUAAGGUAACGGCUUACCAAGGCAACGAUGCAUAGCCGACCUGGGAGGGUGAUCGGGCACGCUGGAACUGAGACACGGUCCAGAGGCCAACGGGAGGCAGCAGUAGGGAAUCUGGGGCGAAGCGCGAAAGAAUGAUGGAGCAACGCGGCGUGAGUGAUGAAGGUCUUCGGAGCGUAAAACGAUGGUAUUAGGGAAGAAAAGAGGUGUAAGUAAGUGUGCACAUAUUGACGGUACCUAAACAGAAAGCGACGGCUAAAUACGUG